rnacentral:rRNA from 1 species
AGAGUUUGAUCCUGGCUCAGAUUGAACGCUGGCGGCAGGCCUAACACAUGCAAGUCGAGCGGUAGCACAGAGAGCUUGCUCUCGGGUGACGAGCGGCGGACGGGUGAGUAAUGUCUGGGAAACUGCCUGAUGGAGGGGGAUAACUACUGGAAACGGUAGCUAAUACCGCAUAAUGUCGCAAGACCAAAGUGGGGGACCUUCGGGCCUCAUGCCAUCAGAUGUGCCCAGAUGGGAUUAGCUAGUAGGUGGGGUAACGGCUCACCUAGGCGACGAUCCCUAGCUGGUCUGAGAGGAUGACCAGCCACACUGGAACUGAGACACGGUCCAGACUCCUACGGGAGGCAGCAGUGGGGAAUAUUGCACAAUGGGCGCAAGCCUGAUGCAGCCAUGCCGCGUGUGUGAAGAAGGCCUUCGGGUUGUAAAGCACUUUCAGCGGGGAGGAAGGCGGUGAGGUUAAUAACCUCAUCGAUUGACGUUACCCGCAGAAGAAGCACCGGCUAACUCCGUGCCAGCAGCCGCGGUAAUACGGAGGGUGCAAGCGUUAAUCGGAAUUACUGGGCGUAAAGCGCACGCAGGCGGUCUGUCAAGUCGGAUGUGAAAUCCCCGGGCUCAACCUGGGAACUGCAUUCGAAACUGGCAGGCUAGAGUCUUGUAGAGGGGGGUAGAAUUCCAGGUGUAGCGGUGAAAUGCGUAGAGAUCUGGAGGAAUACCGGUGGCGAAGGCGGCCCCCUGGACAAAGACUGACGCUCAGGUGCGAAAGCGUGGGGAGCAAACAGGAUUAGAUACCCUGGUAGUCCACGCCGUAAACGAUGUCGAUUUGGAGGUUGUGCCCUUGAGGCGUGGCUUCCGGAGCUAACGCGUUAAAUCGACCGCCUGGGGAGUACGGCCGCAAGGUUAAAACUCAAAUGAAUUGACGGGGGCCCGCACAAGCGGUGGAGCAUGUGGUUUAAUUCGAUGCAACGCGAAGAACCUUACCUGGUCUUGACAUCCACAGAACUUUCCAGAGAUGGAUUGGUGCCUUCGGGAACUGUGAGACAGGUGCUGCAUGGCUGUCGUCAGCUCGUGUUGUGAAAUGUUGGGUUAAGUCCCGCAACGAGCGCAACCCUUAUCCUUUGUUGCCAGCGGUCCGGCCGGGAACUCAAAGGAGACUGCCAGUGAUAAACUGGAGGAAGGUGGGGAUGACGUCAAGUCAUCAUGGCCCUUACGACCAGGGCUACACACGUGCUACAAUGGCAUAUACAAAGAGAAGCGACCUCGCGAGAGCAAGCGGACCUCAUAAAGUAUGUCGUAGUCCGGAUUGGAGUCUGCAACUCGACUCCAUGAAGUCGGAAUCGCUAGUAAUCGUAGAUCAGAAUGCUACGGUGAAUACGUUCCCGGGCCUUGUACACACCGCCCGUCACACCAUGGGAGUGGGUUGCA